CCAAUAGCGUAUAUUAAAGUUGUUGCAGUUAAAAAGCUCGUAGUUGAACUUCGGGGUCUACCCAUUGGUCAGGCUUAAUUGUCUGCACUGGUGAGAUGGAUCUCUACCUUCUGAGGAACUUUCAUGCCAUUUAUUUGGUGUGAUGGGAAAUCAGGACUGUUACUUUGAAAAAAUUAGAGUGUUUAAAGCAGACUAUCGUCUGAAUACAUUAGCAUGGAAUAAUGAAAUAGGACGGACUGAUUCUAUUUCGUUGGUUUCUAGGAUCACCGUAAUGAUUAAUAGGGAUAGUUGGGGGCAUUAGUAUUCAAUUGUCAGAGGUGAAAUUCUUGGAUUUAUUGAAGACUAACUACUGCGAAAGCAUUUGCCAAGGAUGUUUUCAUUAAUCAAGAACGAAAGUUAGGGGAUCGAAGACGAUCAGAUACCGUCGUAGUCUUAACCAUAAACUAUGCCGACUGGGGAUCGGACGAAGUUAAUUUUAUAAUGACGCGUUCGGCACCUUACG
rnacentral:misc_RNA from 1 species